rnacentral:rRNA from 1 species
AAUGGGCGAAAGCCUGACGGAGCAAGACCGCGUGAGGGAGGAAGGCUCUUGGGUUGUAAACCUCUUUUCUCAGGGAAGAAGCUCUGACGGUACCUGAGGAAUCAACCUCGGCUAACUCCGUGCCAGCAGCCGCGGUAAUACGGAGGAGGCAAGCGUUAUCCGGAAUUAUUGGGCGUAAAGCGUCCGCAGGUGGCGAUUCAAGUCUGCUGUCAAAGCACGGGGCUUAACUCCGUUAAGGCAGUGGAAACUGAAUAGCUAGAGUGCCGUAGGGGUAGAGGGAAUUCCCGGUGUAGCGGUGAAAUGCGUAGAGAUCGGGAAGAACAUCGGUGGCGAAAGCGCUCUACUGGACGGCAACUGACACUCAGGGACGAAAGCUAGGGGAGCGAAUGGGAUUAGAUACCCCAGUAGUC